rnacentral:rRNA from 1 species
GACGAGGGAUUCCAAGUGCCAGCACUUUGUGUUGGCUGUUCUUCUGUCUAAAAAACAGGAGAAGUAAGGGGCGGGUAAGACGGGUGCCAGCCGCCGCGGUAAUACCCGCGCCCCGAGUGGUGGUCGAUAUUAUUGAGCCUAAAACGUCCGUAGCCGGUCUUCUAAAUCCUUGGGUAAAUCGGGCAGCUCAACUGUCCGAAUUCCGGGGAGACUGGGAGACUUGGGACCGGGAGAGGUCAGAGGUACUUCUGGGGUAGGGGUAAAAUCCUGUAAUCCUGGAAGGACCACCGGUGGCGAAGGCGUCUGACUAGAACGGAUCCGACGGUGAGGGACGAAGCCCUGGGGCGCAAACGGGAUUAGAUACCCCGGUAGUCCAGGGUGUAAACGCUGCGGGCUUGGUGUUGGGGGUCCUUAGUGGGCGCCCAGUGCCGGAGAGAAGUUGUUAAGCCUGCUGCUUGGGGAGUAUGUCCGCAAGGAUGAAACUUAAAGGAAUUGGCGGGGGAGCAC